UCGGGAAUUUUGGGCAAUGGGCGAAAGCCCGACCCAGCAACGCCGCGUGAAGGAUGAAGUAUUUCGGUAUGUAAACUUCGAAAGAAUAGGAAGAAUAAAUGACGGUACUAUUUAUAAGGUCCGGCUAACUACGUGCCAGCAGCCGCGGUAAUACGUAGGGACCAAGCGUUGUUCGGAUUUACUGGGCGUAAAGGGCGCGUAGGCGGCAAUUCAAGUCAUCUGUGAAAUCUCCGGGCUUAACUCGGAACGGUCAGAUGAUACUGCUUUGCUAGAGUGCAGAAGGGGCAAUCGGAAUUCUUGGUGUAGCGGUGAAAUGCGUAGAUAUCAAGAGGAACACCUGAGGUGAAGACGGGUUGCUGGGCUGACACUGACGCUGAGGCGCGAAAGCAUGGGGAGCAAACAGGAUUAAAUACCCGAGUAGUCCCUGAGCGGGCUGGCAAGGCGCAU
rnacentral:rRNA from 1 species